UUAAACUGAAGAGUUUGAUCAUGGCUCAGAUUGAACGCUGGCGGCAGGCUUAACACAUGCAAGUCGAGCGGUAACAGGGGGAGCUUGCUCCCCGCUGACGAGCGGCGGACGGGUGAGUAAUGCAUAGGAAACUGCCCAGUAGUGGGGGAUAGCCCGGGGAAA
rnacentral:rRNA from 1 species